GUUGAACGCUGGCGGCAGGCCUAACACAUGCAAGUCGAGCGGAUGAAGGGGGCUUGCUCCCGGAUUCAGCGGCGGACGGGUGAGUAAUGCCUAGGAAUCUGCCUGGUAGUGGGGGAUAACGUCCGGAAACGGGCGCUAAUACCGCAUACGUCCUGAGGGAGAAAGUGGGGGAUCUUCGGACCUCACGCUAUCAGAUGAGCCUAGGUCGGAUUAGCUAGUUGGUGGGGUAAAGGCCUACCAAGGCGACGAUCCGUAACUGGUCUGAGAGGAUGAUCAGUCACACUGGAACUGAGACACGGUCCAGACUCCUACGGGAGGCAGCAGUGGGGAAUAUUGGACAAUGGGCGAAAGCCUGAUCCAGCCAUGCCGCGUGUGUGAAGAAGGUCUUCGGAUUGUAAAGCACUUUAAGUUGGGAGGAAGGGCAGUAAGUUAAUACCUUGCUGUUUUGACGUUACCAACAGAAUAAGCACCGGCUAACUUCGUG
rnacentral:rRNA from 1 species